rnacentral:rRNA from 1 species
AAAAAAAGGCGAACGUUUGGGCUUCGGCCUGAUUUAGUAGUCUUUUUUUCUUUUAAACCCAUUCCUUAAUACUGAAUAUACUGUGGGGACGAAAGUCUCUGCUUUUAACUAGAUAGCAACUUUCAGCAGUGGAUGUCUAGGCUCGCACAUCGAUGAAGAACGCUGCGAACUGCGAUACGUAAUGCGAAUUGCAGGAUUCAGUGAGUCAUCGAAAUUUUGAACGCAUAUUGCACUUCCGGGUUAGUCCUGGAAGUAUGCCUGUAUCAGUGUCCGUACAUUAAACUUGACUUUCUUCCUUCCGUGUAGUCGGUGGAGGAGAUGUCAGAUGUGAAGUGUCUUGCGAUUGGUCUUCGGACCGGCUGCGAGUCCUUUUAAAUGUACUAAACUGAACUUCUCUUUGCUCGAAAAGUGGUGGCGUUGCUGGUUGUGAAGGCUGCUAUUGUGGCAAAUUGGCGACUGGUUUGUCUGCUGCGGCAUUAAUGGAAGAGUGUUCGAUUCGUGGUAUGGUUGGCUUCGGCUGAACAAUGCACUUAUUGGACGUUUUUCCUGCUGUGGCGUGAUGGACUGGUGAACCAUAGCUCGGUGGCUUGGCUUUUGAAUUGGCUUUGCUGUUGCGAAGUAGGGUGGCAGCUUCGGUUGUCGAGGGUCGAUCCAUUUGGGAACUUAAUGUGUACUUCGGUAUGCAUCUCAAUGGACC